UGACAUUAUUUACCUCUCUGCAGGAGCAUAUGAUUGUAAUGUCUGCAAAUAAACAUGCCCAGCAACAAAGGUUUUUCUAUCAAGAUUUUCUAUGAGGCCCUACAACCUUCAGAAUUACUAUGAGACUUGUGUUGUCAGUUGAGUCAUACAGAAAAGUCAGGAUGAGAUUAUUUGCUUCCUCAUGUCUGAUUUAUUGCUCUAUUUUUCAGACCACUGCACUCCUAGGUCAUGGAUGACAGUGUGUGUAUCAACAUCUUUUAGGGGGAAGCUCUGAACAUAGCUUGCUGCAUAUGGCAACCUAAAUAUGCAGCUCAUGAUCCUGUCCAAGUAAAAAUUGCAAUCUGGGCAGGGGAGAGAAAUUAUAACAAAAGGCCUGUGGACUGAGGUCAAUGAAACCAAAAACCUGUGUUUCAACACUCUGAUGAUAAGAAGCUCCUUUCUCCAGUUGAAACAGAAUGGACUGGAUGACUGGAUUUUAGUUACUCUGUAACAUUACGUCUGAAUCCCUUCUGCAUCAUGAAAUGAAGGUCUUAUAAGGAUGAGUUUGUUCUUUUGUUGACUUAACAUUCAUGUGGACCAACCAAAACAUA